CCUUGUCAACUGAUAUGAAAGCUGCUAGCUGAUUGGAGAGCUAGGUUGCGCAGCUAGCGGGUCCAUGACCAUGACUUCCGUUUUGUUUGAUCAGCCGUUUUACUGCCCCAUUUGGAAAUAAUCAAGACGGCAUUGGACCUGAGAGAGCCUCGCCGACUGCAGAGCGCCAGCGGCUCGGAACGCCAUCUGUGGGAGCCCGGAAUCUUCCCCGUUGCCUGGCACCGCCGCACAAAGCACCCCUGCACCCACUCUUCCGGUCCACAGAUCCCAGCAGAAGUCGGAGCAAUCCUUUUCCUCCCGAAACCUCGCCGCGUUUCCCAGGAGCUCAGCCCGGGUGGCGAAUCACCGCCUCCGCGGAAAGACAUGUCGUGGUGACAAUGCUGGUAACGUGAGCCAAGUCGCACGUUGAGUCGACAGACACACAGAGCACUUACAAGCAGAGACACCGUGGAGACAAAAUGGAAGUAUUUUGGCUUAAAAAACUAACGACAAAG